AUCUACGGCCAUGCUACCCUGAACAAGCCUGAUCCUGUCUGAUCUCAGAAGCUAAGCAGGGUCAGACCUGGUUAGUACUUGGAUGGGAAGACUGCCUAGGAAGACCAGGUGCUGUAGUCU
rnacentral:rRNA from 1 species